GACGAACGCUGGCGGCGUGCCUAAUACAUGCAAGUCGAGCGGACCGGAUUGGGGCUUGCCUUGAUUCGGUCAGCGGCGGACGGGUGAGUAACACGUGGGCAACCUGCCCGCAAGACCAGGAAAACUCCGGGAAACCGGAGCUAAUACCGGAUAACACCGAAGACCGCAUGGUCUUCGGUUGAAAGGCGGCCUUUGGGCUGUCACUUGCGGAUGGGCCCGCGGCGCAUUAGCUAGUUGGUGAGGUAACGGCUCACCAAGGCGACGAUGCGUAGCCGGCCUGAGAGGGUGACCGGCCACACUGGGACUGAGACACGGCCCAGACUCCUACGGGAGGCAGCAGUAGGGAAUCUUCCGCAAUGGGCGAAAGCCUGACGGAGCGACGCCGCGUGAGCGAAGAAGGCCUUCGGGUCGUAAAGCUCUGUUGUGAGGGACGAAGGAGCGCCGUUCGAAGAGGGCGGCGCGGUGACGGUACCUCACGAGAAAGCCCCGGCUAACUACGUGCCAGCCGCCGCGGUAA
rnacentral:rRNA from 1 species